CAGGCCUGCUUGAGCUGCGGUGGGCUCCACCCAGUUCGAGCUUUCCAGCCACUUUGUUUACUUACUCAAGCCUCAGCAAUGGUGGGCUCCCCUCCCCCAGCCUCACUGCCACCUUGCAGUUUGAUCUCAGCCUGCUGUGCUAGCAAUGAGUGAGGCUCCAUGGGCAUAGGACCCUCCAAGCCAUGCGUGGGAUAUAAUCUCCUGGUGUGCCAUUUGCUAAGACCAUUGGAAAGGUGCGGUAUUAGGGUGGGAGUGACCUGAUUUUCCAGGUGCCAUCUGUCACCCCUUUCUUUGACUAGGAAAGGGAAUUCUCUGACCCCUUGUGCUUCCCGGGUGAGGUGAUGCCUUGCCCUGCUUUGGCUCACACUCAGUGCACUGCUUCCAUUGUCCUGCACCCACUGUCUGACACUCCCCAGUGAGAUGAACCCAGUACCUCAGUUGGAAAUGCAGAAAUCACCCAUCUUCUGUGUCGCUCACACUGGGAGCUAUAGACUGGAGCUAUUCCUAUUCAGCCAUCUUGGCUCCACCCCUGUUGUCACUUUUUAGGGAAAGUAUUUGCUGAGCUUCUUAUUCUACCAUUUUGGAAGUCCCCUUUUCAGAAAUAUUUAAUUGUUGAUAGGCAUGAUUUAGUUUCUACCUAGUUUUUGAUCAAGCAUCAAGCAGUUGAGAUUCUUAGAUAAUCAAGUGCAUUUUACUAAUGACUCCAUAAAUAUUAUAUUCUGAUUUUUAGAAACAUAUCCAUAUUAGAAAAUGUACAUGAACAGGGCUAAUUUUCUUCAUGUAUUGGAAUGAAUGUUUUGUAUUUAUUUUUGAAUUCUUUUCCUAUCCAAACUCUACAAUUGAAGAUAAUGGAACAGGAGAUAAAAUUGAAAGCUUUUGAAAUUGUCUAGAUAGUAGACUGAAUAUUUGCGAUGUAUUUUCUACUCUCUUUUUCUUGAUUACAUUUUAGUAAUAUGAAAUAAAAACGGUCAGCCAUUAACAGCAGAACAUAUGCAACCUAUUUAAACCAAAAGUCUUUCAAGCAUCUCAGGAGCAGACCUGAGAAGCUUUUCUAAGUUAAAUGUACAAUAAUCAUCUAACAAGAAUAAUCUGACACUUUAUAUGUGACCAUGAUGGCAAAUAAAAUUGGAUUGCUCCCAAUUUGAUAGCCCAUGGAGGGUUGUACAAUAAUUUUAUGCUAAUUCUAAAAAACCUAUGAUUUCUACUUUUAGAAAUUCAUGAUCAAAUUUAUCUUCUUAUCUGUGUGGAGUUUAGGAAAGAAACACAUCAUGCUAAAGACAACAAAAGCCUGAACAAAGUCCCUCUAUUUAGUCAAAAUAGAAUUUCACAAACAAUGGAGUUUAAAAUUCAAAUGUCUUCAAAGCAGUUGUAAUAAUAAUUGUUUCCACUAAGGUGUGCUAGAUCUCCAAAUAUUAUUCAUGCUCUCCUUGUCUUACCACACUGCACUGAAUUUCACCGUGUUCAUUGCCUUCCCCAGGGCUGCCAAGCAUUUACCACACAGGAGGUUUUUAAGCUGGAGCAACAAUGUGCUGCACACAAAUUCAGCUAAAACACAAAAGAAGACAAGAAAUCAUUUAAAAAUGUUAAAUGAAAAGAAAAAAAUAGUUGCAUUGUGAAUUGGUGAUUUUUAUAAACAGACUCAGCAGAAGAUUAGUUGUUUCCAGCAUAUUUUUGGUAAUUACACAUAUAUUUCAAAAGUUUAUUUUCAUGUUUUCUUUCUAUGUGGUAAAAUUCUCUUUUAAGUUUUCCUAGUAUUAUUUUUGGAGAAAAUAUACUCUCUAAACUUGUCCUAUGCAGAUAUAAAUUUUAAUGUCCUUGAUACAUAAUACAUUCUCAACAGAAAGUCACACAGACAAUGUACAAGAAAAAAGGCAGUCUUUCCCCCCCUCAAGACUGUAAAGUAUUUCUGUCAGAUAGUAAAAACGUAAAGUUAGAAUUUAUUGGACAGAGGAUGGAGGGCAACCUGUUGUUAUGUUGGUAUUCUCACAAUUUUUCCAUUUAAAAAUAUACAGAUUUAAUGUGGCAUUUAUAAAGGAAAACAUCAUCCUCGCUGUAUGAAGUCAUGAAUACCAUUUUAUAGAGUGUGUUAUGGGGAAUUGUGGUUUGAAUUUUGAAUUAAUACAGAAAAACUAAGGAUACCAACAUAAAGCAGUCUUAUGUUUAUGCAGACUUAUUUACCCAAAAUGUGGCCCUUAUCUGAGGUAAUAUUUACACAGCAUAAGCAAUCUGAAGAAAAUUUCUUUUCUGAAAGAUCUUCAUAAAACAGUGCCCUAAGAGACAACUGUUAAACUACAAGCACUGUUUACUUUUAACUCUCUUUCUUAUUAACUCCCUCCCCAACACUGCUUAGCAUUCCAGAGAAGGCUAGAAAAAUAUUUAUUCUGGUCUCAUUUUUAUUUAGAUUACUAUAAAAUUAUCCAUUUAUAGAAGUAGGUAAUGUAUUCUUUGACUCUUUUUAGUAUGUAAUUCUGGUCGUAACUUACUUUCAGGAAUUUAGAAAGGAGAUGUUACAUAAGGCCACUCAAAAGUAAUACUAUAUACUCUGUAUUAGCUAUGUGACAAAUGGAAGAAAAUGACCACAGAUGUUUGUUACUAAUAAUAUUAACGCUCUUGAUUUCAAGAAAUAUUUAAAAUACAUGAAAUAAAUAUAAAAGUCCAAGGACUUACAUGCAAUAAAAGCAUAUGCUGCAUGUGCCCCUAAAGUUGUGUGUCAUACUGUUGGAAAACUUUUAAGUUUAGAGACUGUCUAAAAAGUCAGGCAAAAUUAUAUUUGCUAGUGUGAUUAUAGAUUUUAAAUGUGAUAAAAUGACACAGGCCAAUAGAAAUUGGCAAAAUAUAGUUUUCAUGGGGCUAUAACAGUCGUAACAAUAAAAUUACUCAUUUUCUAAAUUGAAAAUCUCUAUUCAUACCCAAAAUAAAUUGGAAUUAUUUUGAAUGAUAAUUUUUUUUAAGGAAGAUAGGGAAAAUACCGUAGUAGCUGUUGAAAUUUCAGGCAUGUGUAAAAAAGCAUUUUCAUUGUAAUGCUAAAAAGAGAUAUGUAUUACACUAUAAACACUGGUUUCAAUUUGGGUACAUUUUAAUUUUAGGCAAAGUUUUCAAAAUAUGCACAAAAGCUUCUUAUUGCAGAUAGGAAAUAGCAACUAAAAAUGGGGUUAUUCUUGGAAGGAUGAUGAUCAGAGGACACCUACCAGGCAAUGUGGACUUAAAAGUAAUAAAAUUGAUGUUUAAAGCCAUAAAGAUUUUUACUCUACAAAACAAAAUGUUGCACAUAUAGGUUAAGACACUGGUGUUAUAUGCAAGAUAUUGAUUUAGAUUUGACAGAAAUGUCAUACUCUCUAUUUAGUUUAGAGUUUUAAAAGUCAAUAAACUAGAAAUAAUAUAGUCCUUAAGUACUUUAAAAGGACCUUAGGGGAAGAAAAGAUACAGAUAUUAAAUGAGUAAUCAGUUAAAAUUUAGCAAAGCAGCCUAAUUUAGACUUCUCUAAAUUCAUGGAUAGUCUUCUGGCUUUAAAGACGGUUUGAUUAUUUUUAUGUGCACAGCCAGGCAAACCAAGUAAACCAAAUGUUGUCUUUUUAAAGUUACUUUAAUUACUAGCUAAGAAUCAUUUGCAAUUAGUAGAGUGUACAAACAACAAUACUUGCUCUUGCUUACAUAGCAAUUACUUGUGUGUAAAUAGAGACCUGAAAAUUUGUAAAAUAAUGCUUUUCUCUAAGAAUGAAAAUUUUUUAUUUGGAAUUAAUAUAGAGUUAUCUUUGUUUAUAAAUAGUGAAAGGUAAUUUCACCCAACAUCUUACUGAAUUAAAAUAAAUUCUGUAUAAAUCAUCUUUGAACUAAUGCAUUUCUAAAUAAAAGCAAUUUAU
rnacentral:lncRNA from 10 species